GGAGAAGAAAGGAUGCCGCUCAAUUACCCCGACAUAGUCAUACGGUGAAUGUUGUGUAUUGGAGACCAAUGUUAACUGUAAGACUGUGUCUCGGUGGUUGCCAGCCCAGCCACACAGCCCA
rnacentral:miRNA from 15 species